GCCUGGGUGGCUCAGUUGGUUGAGGGUCUGACUUCAGCUCAGGUCAUGAUCUCAGGGCUUGUGAGUUCAAGCCCCACGCCGGGCU
rnacentral:tRNA from 1 species